UGGCAGAUAGUUCAGGCGGUAGAACACCAUGCCUUAGCAUGUAAGUCACGGGUUCAAGUCCCGUUCUGCCAA
rnacentral:tRNA from 1 species